ensembl:lncRNA
GGUCCGUUCUGUAUGUUAAGGUAUAACUCUGGAUGUUUACAGGUACGCUAGAUAUACAGCGAUAUUCUGACUGGGUAACAUGCUACAGCUGCCGUGAUGCUAUUCACAACAACCCUACCACUGAUUGGUUGGCCGCGGAGUUGCCGCGGUAACGUCGCUACACUACUGCCUAUAAUUGGAGGAGAUCAGAGAGCUCAAGCCACAUUAUUUGGCAGAAUUCCCGAUUGCCCCUUUGAGGGGCAAUUGGCUUGUGCAGGCUUUUGUUCCAGGCCUGGGCUCACAACUGAUUUUGACACACCUUAAAACAUAUAAAAAGACUAUUUGCACAGCUCCCUGUAUAAAGGGGAUUGACCAGUGUAAAUGGGUUCUCAGGGUUAAAAAUAAUGACAGACAGAGUGAGUUAGUGGUAAUAUUUCACAGAUCAUAGUCAUGGACGUGAGUACAGGCGAUGAGCCUGAUGUGUCACGUGACAGCCCGGCGUUCCCUUGGUGGGGCGCUCAGACGGACUAGAGCCCCCUGGCCCCCGAGGAGAGGUUGUGCGCUAUGCGGAGAGCCGGUCGGACACAACCUAGAUGGAGGAAUGGAGGGAGACACCAGUAGUCUGGUGAUUUCACCAUGAUUUCAAGAUGUCACACCAGUAAUCCGCUUGUGUGUCAGACUACUAGAUGUCCAGAUGACCAGGUGUUCAGGUAACCAGGUGUCCAGAUAACUAGGUGUCCAGAUUAACCAGGUGUUCAGGUAACCAGGUGUGUACAGGUGUCAGGUGAGGGAGCACGGAUCUAGAAUCAGCUUCUCCAGGUGUCACCAGGUGUCACCAGGUGUGUAUAAAAGUGUGUCCCAUUUAUGCAUGUGUGUUUUCAUGUUGUCACCACAUAGGAAAACUGUUGACUGGAUGUCUAGUGAUAUGCUAUUUGUUGCUGACCAUUCACCGAUCUACAUCAGUUGUUAUGGUAACUAAAAAAACGACAAAACAGUGACUGAAUCCACACACACAGGGCACCACGGUAACACUCCACCUCACAGAUACAUGGUUAACCUGACCCCCCUCACAGAUACAUGGUUAAC